rnacentral:rRNA from 1 species
AUUGAACGCUGGCGGCAGGCCUAACACAUGCAAGUCGAGCGGAGCGGCGGACGGGCGAGUAAUGCCUAGGAAUCUGCCUGGUAGUGGGGGUUAACGUCCGGAAACGGGCGCUAAUACCGCAUACUAUCAGAUGAGCCUCUGUCGGAUUAGCUAGUUGGUGGGGUAAAGGCCUACCAAGGCGAAGAUCCGUAACUGGUCUGAGUGGAUGAUCAGUCACACUGGAAGUGAGACACGUUCCAGACUCCUACGGGAGGCAGCAGUGGGGAAUAUUGGACAAGGGGCGAAAGCCUGAUCCAGCCAGGCCGCGUGUGUGAAGAAGGUCUUCGGAUUGUAAAGCACUUUAAGUUGGGAGGCGUUACCAGCAGAAUAAGCACCGGCUAACUUCGUGCCAGCAGCCGCGGUAAUAC